rnacentral:lncRNA from 1 species
ACAUAUGUGAGAGGUGUGAAUUGAAUGUGCUUGGGCCUUAAGCCCAAGCUCCACACGGCAAACCGGAUUCAGGCCAAAGCAUCUAAGCCAAAACACAAAACACUCAGCAACAUGAACAAUGAACAUUUCACCACCAUCUUCAUGUUCCCAUGAUCUCACACUCUCACUUCAAAUGUUCAUCGAAAAAUAUGAACAAACGAAAUGAAUCUGAAUCAGUGCCUAAUCAUCAUCACCAAAAUCCAAUUUCAAUUUGAAUUCAUCAUCAUCGGAUCGAGUUGCAAAAUCCAACACCGAAAUCAAUUCACAAUCAAAUAGUAUCUUACACGCGGAAUUGAAGAGAAUCGGGGAUGAAACAAAGAAUGGAUUGUUCAAGGGAGUUGCAGCGAUAAUUGAAGCAAGACAUAGAAGAAUAACUUACCGAAUCGAAAUCCUGACACGGUGGCUCUCCAGCGAAUCGCAUGUACUGAAUUCUUCUAUUUCCCUCUGCUCUUCUUCAAUUUCACUUCUGCAACCUUCUUCUUCUCUGCAACUGCUUGGCUUGAUUGUCGCAUGAAUGAAUGAUUCGAGAGAGAAUCAUAAGAAAUUGGAGAGAGAAUAGUGAAUUUGUAGAGUGAAUGCGAGAGUUUCUGAAACGUGACUCUGACAAUCCAAAAAUUGCAGUGAAGUGCUUAUAUAUAAUUCUCGAUUUAACAGAGUGAAACUCUGUUAAAUCUUAGAGGUUUUGAUUAGUUAACUAUUAAAUAUUCUAUUACAUUUAAGUUAACUCAAUUAGUUAGCAAUAUGAAUUCAGUUGCAAUGCUUACGAUUUUAUGUGUGCCUAGCUAGGUUAGUUAUAAUGAAGCUCCAUUUCGUGUGUUCUGUUAAAAAGAAUUCUGCAGGUGGAAUGCAUUUUGAGUUUUUCUGAUAUAUUUAAUUUGCUGCUGCUUGGCCAUGUUAAUGUGAGCUACUUGGAGUAUGUUAUGAUCCAACUUCUGUUAAUUGGAGGAGUCUUAUUUUGCUCAGUUAGAAAAUUACAAGUUGAAUUUGUUUCUAAUUUUUUUGUGUUAUGAAUUUUCAACUUGAGUUUCUUUGCAAAUGAUAAUGUGAUUAUGUUGCUCUUAGAAAACAUGGCCUAUGUGGAAUGUGGGUAUGUAAUUGUUAUUGAGUCUUUGAAUUAGUGUAUUAUGUAGGAAUCAUGUAUUGAAUUACUUGAUUGAAUUAUGGAUGAGAUGCUUGCUAACCUUGGUGAACUUGUACUGUAAUGGAAAGUUUGAAUGAAGAAUGAUAUAUUUGAAUGGUGAUUAUUGUGUCAAGCUAGUGAUAUGAUGCAAUUUUGUUAAUUGUGAAGAUCAAAUUAACCUAUUAAUUAUUUCAACAAAUUGCUACGCACUGGUUAAAUGAAUUUAAUGAGUAAUUGGUAAUUGUUAUCUUAGGUCCCUUCAUUCAUGUUAGUAAUGAAAAAAAAAAGAAUUUUUGUUGAUUAUUGUGUUAAAAUAAGAUGUAUAUUGAACAAAUCCAUGGCAUAUGCUUGGUGAUUAAAUUGUGUCAAAUGUGAUUUUAUAGGUUUAGGCAUGGCAUUGAGGAUUGACCAAAGUGUAAUAUCAAGAGAUGAAUCAAAUGACUGCGGGCUUGAAGAUCAUGGUGAUUAGGACUUAGGAAUAAAUGAUCGACUUUGGUCAACUAGUUGACCAAAAAGUUAACAGUUGACCAAAGUCAAAUGUAGGUUUUAGACUAGGGUUUUCUUGAUGUAAAAGGACUUAUGAAAAUGUACAUAUGACUUGUAAUGUAAAAAGGAUCUUGAUAUGAAAUAAAAUUUGAUUUUCUACUUAGAUGAAACAA